rnacentral:rRNA from 1 species
UACGUAGGAGACGAGCGUUGUCCGGAAUCACUGGGCGUAAAGCGCGUGUAGGCGGAUGGGCAAGUCUGCUGUGAAAGCUCCUGGCUUAACCGGGAGUGGUCGGUGGAAACUGCCAAUCUGGAGGACGGUAGAGGUAGGUAGAAUUCCCGGUGUAGUGGUGAAAUGCGUAGAGAUCGGGAGGAAUACCUGUGGCGAAGGCGGCCUACUGGGCCGGACCUGACGCUGAGACGCGAGGGCGUGGGGAGCGAACGGG